rnacentral:hammerhead_ribozyme from 1 species
AUCCAGCUGACUAGUUCCAAAUAGGACGGAAUGUGCAUCAUGGAU